AACGAACGCUGGCGGCAUGCCUAACACAUGCAAGUCGAACGAGAUCCUUCGGGGUCUAGUGGCGCACGGAUGCGUAACGCGUGGGAAUCUGCCCUUAGGUUCGGAAUAACAGUUAGAAAUGACUGCUAAUACCGGAUGAUGACGUUAAGUCCAAAGAUUUAUCGCCUGAGGAUGAGCCCGCGUAGGAUUAGCUAGUUGGUGUGGUAAAGGCGCACCAAGGCGACGAUCCUUAGCUGGUCUGAGAGGAUGAUCAGCCACACUGGGACUGAGACACGGCCCAGACUCCUACGGGAGGCAGCAGUGGGGAAUAUUGGACAAUGGGCGCAAGCCUGAUCCAGCAAUGCCGCGUGAGUGAUGAAGGCCUUAGGGUUGUAAAGCUCUUUUACCCGAGAUGAUAAUGACAGUAGCGGGAGAAUAAGCCCCGGCUAACUCCGUG
rnacentral:rRNA from 1 species